GAUGAACGCUGGCGGCGUGCCUAAUACAUGCAAGUCGAGCGAACAGACGAGGAGCUUGCUCCUUUGACGUUAGCGGCGGACGGGUGAGUAACACGUGGAUAACCUACCUAUAAGACUGGGAUAACUUCGGGAAACCGGAGCUAAUACCGGAUAACAUGUUGAACCGCAUGGUUCAACAGUGAAAGACGGUCUUGCUGUCACUUAUAGAUGGAUCCGCGCCGCAUUAGCUAGUUGGUAAGGUAACGGCUUACCAAGGCAACGAUGCGUAGCCGACCUGAGAGGUUGAUCGGCCACACUGGAACUGAGACACGGUCCAGACUCCUACGGGAGGCAGCAGUAGGGAAUCUUCCGCAAUGGGCGAAAGCCUGACGGAGCAACGCCGCGUGAGUGAAGAAGGUCUUCGGAUCGUAAAACUCUGUUAUUAGGGAAGAACAAAUGUGUAAGUAACUAUGCACGUCUUGACGGUACCUAAUCAGAAAGCCACGGCUAACUACGUG
rnacentral:rRNA from 1 species